AGAGUUUGAUCCUGGCUCAGAUUGAACGCUGGCGGCAUGCCUUACACAUGCAAGUCGAACGGUAGAGGGGCAACCCUUGAGAGUGGCGAACGGGUGAGUAAUAUAUCGGAACGUGCCCAGUCGUGGGGGAUAACGCAGCGAAAGCUGCGCUAAUACCGCAUACGAUCUAAGGAUGAAAGCGGGGGAUCGCAAGACCUCGCGCGAUUGGAGCGGCCGAUAUCAGAUUAGGUAGUUGGUGGGGUAAAAGCCCACCAAGCCGACGAUCUGUAGCUGGUCUGAGAGGACGACCAGCCACACUGGGACUGAGACACGGCCCAGACUCCUACGGGAGGCAGCAGUGGGGAAUUUUGGACAAUGGGCGCAAGCCUGAUCCAGCAAUGCCGCGUGCAGGACGAAGGCCUUCGGGUUGUAAACUGCUUUUGUACGGAGCGAAACGGUCUGGGUUAAUACCCUGGGCUAAUGACGGUACCGUAAGAAUAAGCACCGGCUAACUACGUGCCAGCCGCCGCGGUAAUAC
rnacentral:rRNA from 1 species